UCCAGCGGUAGUCAGCUGUCCGGCGCUUGUCCAUGCCUGUGACUGUGUUACACUGCUGGCAGAUUAAAGCGCUGCCGCCACGCACUAGACGCCGCUGCUAUCGUUUUGGUGGCACGUGGCGCUGGUGCCAGGUAGUGCCGGACUUCCGCCAAAUCGUGCCAAGCAUUGACUGUUUGACCAGUAGCAGUGGAAGUCUACAAA